rnacentral:rRNA from 1 species
AACGAACGCUGGCGGCAUGCCUAACACAUGCAAGUCGAACGAGACCUUCGGGUCUAGUGGCGCACGGGUGCGUAACGCGUGGGAACCUGCCCUUAGGUUCGGAAUAACUCCCCGAAAGGGGUGCUAAUACCGGAUAAUGUCUUCGGACCAAAGAUUUAUCGCCUUUGGAUGGGCCCGCGUUGGAUUAGCUAGUUGGUAGGGUAAAAGCCUACCAAGGCGACGCUCCAUAGCUGGUCUGAGAGGAUGGUCAGCCACACUGGGACUGAGACACGGCCCAGACUCCUACGGGAGGCAGCAGUGGGGAAUAUUGGACAAUGGGCGAAAGCCUGAUCCAGCAAUGCCGCGUGAGUGAUGAAGGCCUUAGGGUUGUAAAGCUCUUUUACCCGGGAUGAUAAUGACAGUACCGGGAGAAUAAGCUCCGGCUAACUCCGUG